UGCUGUGUUUUAUGGCUUUCUAUUCCUAUGUGAUUUUCUCUGGCAUGUCACAUAGGGUCUAAAGCCAUUGGGUACAGAG
rnacentral:pre_miRNA from 1 species